AGAAGAUGAGUCUCUCUAGGACUACAUCAAUUGCUUUAAUGUUACAACCUUAGAGAUACGUGACUUGGAUCAAUCAAUGACCAUGAUUGCUCUCAAAGCUAGAUUGCUCAAGAAUAAUUUUCUCUUCUCGCUUGAGAAGAGGUAUUCUAAAGACUUCAUUGAGAUGUUGAUGAGAAUAGAAAAGUAUGCAAACAUAGAGGAGACAUGGGCUCG
rnacentral:lncRNA from 1 species